rnacentral:rRNA from 1 species
AGCGAACGCUGGCGGCAGGCCUAACACAUGCAAGUCGAACGAACUCUUCGGAGUUAGUGGCGGACGGGUGAGUAACACGUGGGAACGUGCCUUUAGGUUCGGAAUAACUCAGGGAAACUUGUGCUAAUACCGAAUGUGCCCUUCGGGGGAAAGAUUUAUCGCCUUUAGAGCGGCCCGCGUCUGAUUAGCUAGUUGGUGAGGUAAAGGCUCACCAAGGCGACGAUCAGUAGCUGGCCUGAGAGGAUGAUCAGCCACAUUGGGACUGAGACACGGCCCAAACUCCUACGGGAGGCAGCAGUGGGGAAUCUUGCGCAAUGGGCUAAAGCCUGACGCAGCCAUGCCGCGUGAAUGAUGAAGGUCUUAGGAUUGUAAAAUUCUUUCACCGGGGACGAUAAUGACGGUACCCGGAGAAGAAGCCCCGGCUAACUUCGUG